CAAAACUUGCCUAAUUGAACUGAAAUUAAUAUUCUUCAAAAGCACGCAUGUUACGGCAUACUGGCUGCUGAAUUUACUCGGAGAUCUCCCUUCAGUAAGGACCGCAACAGGAGCUUGCUGGAUCUUGGCUCUCUAUUUAGAGUGAGAGGAAUUGAGGAUGCCCCUGUUCUGUGCAAGGCCUAGGAGAGGGACGAGAAACAAGGAGGAGUUGCCUGUCUCCAGCCACAGCACAGGCACAGGGGACGGAGGUGCACCCAAAAGCCACUGUGGCGCAGCUGACUUCCUCCACAGCCAGAAGUGGUGGGAGAGAACUCUGGUGCUGAGUCACGUUUCCUUCCUUUGGGCUCAUGCUGGGAUGGAUGGACCUGCCUGCACUGUGCCAGCAAGGCUUCACUGCGUGGCUUCUCUGGGGACUGCUCGAGGUGGAUGCAGUGGUCCCUGUCAGAUGUGUGCCAAAUUGAAAUGCCAGCAGCUGUGUGAGCAGCGGGAUAAUCGUAUCUGCUGCUUCUUUCUUCCAAGUCCUGACAUUCCCAUUUCAGCAGUGGUGAGUCCGUGCUCAGCUCCACGGGAGGAAUUCCAUUGACUGAAGGCAGGCUGAUGCCUGGGGGAUGAGGUUACAUGCUCAUCAGUCACCUCUCUGACUGCGAACCCACUGGGUUGACUUCCAAGUGCAGUUCUGUGGGGCGUUUCCCCCUUCCUCUCUGCAGGGCCACCUCACAGGUGUGCAGGGGACAGCAAUAUGCUACUGCUUCUCCUGCCAAAGUCACUUUCCCAGCAGUUCAGUUGA